rnacentral:rRNA from 1 species
AUUGAACGCUGGCGGAGUGCUUUACACAUGCAAGUCGAACGGCAGCACGGACUUCGGUCUGGUGGCGAGUGGCGAACGGGUGAGUAAUACAUCGGAACGUGCCCAAUCGUGGGGGAUAACGUAGCGAAAGCUACGCUAAUACCGCGUACGAUCUAAGGAUGAAAGCGGAGGAUCGCAAGACCUCGCGCGAUUGGAGCGGCCGAUGGCAGAUUAGGUAGUUGGUAGGGUAAAGGCCUACCAAGCCGACGAUCUGUAGCUGGUCUGAGAGGAUGAUCAGCCACACUGGGACUGAGACACGGCCCAGACUCCUACGGGAGGCAGCAGUGGGGAAUUUUGGACAAUGGACGCAAGUCUGAUCCAGCCAUUCCGCGUGCAGGAUGAAGGCCCUCGGGUUGUAAACUGCUUUUGUACAGAACGAAAAGGCUCUGGUUAAUACCUAGGGCUCAUGACGGUACUGUAAGAAUAAGCACCGGCUAACUACGUGCCAGCCGCGCGGUAA